GUGAGGAAUAUUGGUCAAUGGGUGCAAGCCUGAACCAGCCAUCCCGCGUGAAGGACGACUGCCCUAUGGGUUGUAAACUUCUUUUGUAUAGGGAUAAACCUACCCUCGUGAGGGUAGCUGAAGGUACUAUACGAAUAAGCACCGGCUAACUCCGUGCCAGCAGCCGCGGUAAUACGGAGGGUGCAAGCGUUAUCCGGAUUUAUUGGGUUUAAAGGGUCCGUAGGCGGACUUAUAAGUCAGUGGUGAAAGCCUGUCGCUUAACGAUAGAACUGCCAUUGAUACUGUAAGUCUUGAGUAUAUUUGAGGUAGCUGGAAUAAGUAGUGUAGCGGUGAAAUGCAUAGAUAUUACUUAGAACACCAAUUGCGAAGGCAGGUUACCAAGAUAUAACUGACGCUGAGGGACGAAAGCGUGGGGAGCGAACAGGAUUAGAAACCCCAGUAGUCC
rnacentral:rRNA from 1 species